rnacentral:rRNA from 1 species
UAUGAGCCUUGAUCGCNUGAUCAGGGCUGGAAAGUUUUUCGGGUUCGAAGAUGAACUUCGCGGCCUAUCAAGCUUCGUUGGUGAGGGUAAUGGCUCACCAAGGCGACGGACGGGUACGGGUCCUGAGAGGGAGACUCCCCCACACUGGUACUGAGACACGGACCAGACUCCGUACGGGAGGCAGCAGGUGGGGAAUAGUUGGGCAAUGGACGAAGUCUGACCCAGCGACGCCGCGUGCGGGAUGAAGGCCUUCGGGUUGUAAACCGCUUUCAGCAGGGAAUAAGCGCAAGUGAAGGUACCUGCAGAAGAAGCACCGGCUAACUAUGUG